rnacentral:lncRNA from 1 species
CAAAAAAUUCAAUUUCAAUAAUUGAUGACAUUUGUCUUUUCAUUUAUUACAUAAUAUGCUCAUUGGUUCAGACUGUAAUGUCUAAUGAUAGUAUUGUAUAUUUAAAUUCAUAACUGGUACUUAUAAUUGUAGUGUAUGCAAAUUUUAUACAUGUAUCUUUUGAUAUGAUUGAUUUUGAAACAUAAACUGUCACAUCUGUGGCCUGCAUCAUCAUAAUAU